UGGUACUAUGCUGAUGCUGCCAUUCCGUUUUGGCGGUGAUGGGGAAAAGGGUCCAGUGGUGUCGGCUCAAGAAGCCCAGGCUCAGGCCAUUCUUUCUCAGGCCAGGCUCGCCAUGAGAGGUCCAUCAGGUCCAAUGGGUCUCACUGGAAGAUCUGGCCCAGUGG